rnacentral:rRNA from 1 species
GUGUUUGACCAUACCACCCUGAACGAGCCCAAACUUGUCUGAUCUCGGAAUCUAAGCAGCCGUCAGGCAUUGUUAGUACUUUGUUGGAAGAAGGAACGUGGAGGCCGUUUUUCAGGCAUA